AUGUGCAUGGCUUAUCUGUGUCCUCCAUCCCCACCCACCGAAGGCAAGCACUCUGCUCCGGGCGUCUACCUCCUGCGCCCCCACAACGAGGAGCUGAGCAGCAAAGGAGACUCCGUCAGCCUCACCUGCCUGGUGCAGGGCUUCUUCCCCGAGGACAUCUCGGUGCAGUGGAUGAAGAACCAUGAAGGUGAAAAUGAGACCAACUAUAUCACCACUCCACCCAUGAAGGACGAAGCCAGCGACUCAAACUUCUUCCUCUACAGCAAGCUGAAAGUCAGCAAAGCCAGCUGGAACCGCGGGGACAUCUACACCUGCAUGGUCAUCCACGAAGCCCUCUCGUUGAAGUUCACCCAACGCAGUGUCAGCAAAGUCUCUGGUAAAUGAAGAUGGCUCCUCCCAGCCCCACUGCUAGCAUUGUCCAGUACAGCUUCCUGUAAAUAAUCUCUGUGUCCCCAAUGACAACAAGUGAAUAAAUGGAACU